UACAGAGGUCCCGAGCGUUGUUCGGAUUCACUGGGCGUAAAGGGUGCGUAGGUGGUGAGGUAAGUCGGAUGUGAAAUCUCCGAGCUCAACUCGGAAAUGGCAUUGGAAACUACCUUGCUUGAGGGUUGGAGGGGGGACUGGAAUACUUGGUGUAGCAGUGAAAUGCGUAGAUAUCAAGUGGAACACCAGUGGCGAAAGCGAGUCCCUGGACAACUCCUGACACUGAGGCACGAAAGCUAGGGGAGCAAACAGG
rnacentral:rRNA from 1 species